rnacentral:rRNA from 1 species
AUUGAACGCUGGCGGCAGGCUUAACACAUGCAAGUCGAGCGGGGUGAUGGUGCUUGCACUAUCACUUAGCGGCGGACGGGUGAGUAAUGCUUAGGAAUCUGCCUAUUAGUGGGGACAACAUCUCGAAAGGGAUGCUAAUACCGCAUACGUCCUACGGGAGAAAGCAGGGGAUCACUUGUGACCUUGCGCUAAUAGAUGAGCCUAAGUCGGAUUAGUUAGUUGGUGGGGUAAAGGCCUACCAAGGCGACGAUCUGUAGCGGGUCCGAGAGGAUGAUCCGCCACACUGGGACUGAGACACGGCCCAGACUCCUACGGGAGGCAGCAGUGGGGAAUAUUGGACAAUGGGGGGAACCCUGAUCCAGCCAUGCCGCGUGUGUGAAGAAGGCCUUAUGGUUGUAAAGCACUUUAAGCGAGGAGGAGGCUCUUUUGGUUAAUACCCAAGAUGAGUGGACGUUACUCGCAGAAUAAGCACCGGCUAACUCUGUGCCAGCCGCCGCCGUAA